rnacentral:rRNA from 1 species
AUUGAACGCUGGCGGCAGGCCUAACACAUGCAAGUCGAACGAGAGGCGGACGGGUGAGCAAUGUCUGGGAAACUGCCUGACGGAGGGGGCUAACUACUGGAAACGGUAGCUAAUACCGCCUACCAUCGGAUGUGCCCCGAUGGGAUUAGCUAGUAGGUGGGGUAAAGGCUCACCUAGGCGACAGUCCCCAGCUGGUCUGAGAGGAUGACCAGCCACACUGGAACUGAGACACGGUCCAGACUCCUACGGGAGGCAGCAGUGGGGAAUGUUGCACAAUGGGCGCAAGCCUGAUGCAGCCAUGCCGCGUGUAUGAAGAAGGCCUUCGGGUUGUAAAGUACUUUCAUCGGGGAGGCGUUACCCGCAGAAGAAGCACCGGCUAACUCCGUGCCAGCAGCCGCGGUAAUUC